AACGAACGCUGGCGGCAGGCUUAACACAUGCAAGUCGAGCGCCCCGCAAGGGGAGCGGCAGACGGGUGAGUAACGCGUGGGAAUUUACCCAUCUCUACGGAAUAACGCAUGGAAACGUGUGCUAAUACCGUAUACGUCCUUCGGGAGAAAGAUUUAUCGGAGAUGGAUGAGCCCGCGUUGGAUUAGCUAGUUGGUGGGGUAAAGGCCUACCAAGGCGACGAUCCAUAGCUGGUCUGAGAGGAUGAUCAGCCACACUGGGACUGAGACACGGCCCAGACUCCUACGGGAGGCAGCAGUGGGGAAUAUUGGACAAUGGGCGCAAGCCUGAUCCAGCCAUGCCGCGUGAGUGAUGAAGGCCCUAGGGUUGUAAAGCUCUUUCACCGGUGAAGAUAAUGACGGUAACCGGAGAAGAAGCCCCAGCUAACUUCGUGCCAGCCGCCGCGGUAAGAC
rnacentral:rRNA from 1 species